GGAGGGGACAGGAACCCUGAAUCAGAAAAGAAACCAGGGUCCCUGACUGAGAGGAGAGAGGGAGAAGCAGAUGUAAGUGAGCAGAGCGCCCUUUGCUCUGUGUCGUGAGGUGGGUGAGGCAGAGACCUCGCAGUCUGUCUGAGCACACAAGGCCUGUUUGAUCUGAGGGUUUCUGAACUGUGGCUGAGGGUCAGCACUUCUCACUUAGAUGUUACAGGACCACACACUGAACACCUUCUUCUCUCUGAAGCUGCAGGUCCACUCAGCGUCAGUUUGACCCUCUGUGAGUCUGGCCUUCUGUUCUACAUAAACUUUGCAUAUGUCUGGGAAGCCUCAAAACCUGCCCUGGUUGGUGCCCCCACUUGUCCUUUUGAAAAUAAAUAUCAAUAUAUUUUCUAUUUCAGGGCAUUUGAUGUAGAACUGCUAUACAUAGCACAGUUUCUUCAAAUCCCAAUAGCAGAAGUUGCUGUCAACUGGACAGAAAUUGAGGGUGAGUGUAGUCUUUAUUUACAGCUGGUGCUUAACAGGGCAGAGCUGUUGUCUGAGUCUGCUGGCUUGCGUUCACCUCUCUCCUUCAUCCAAGCCGCCUGUGUUCCAGUAGAUUCCCUCCUGCUGUUUUUCCAGACUCUUCUUUGAGUCUGCAGUGGGCCUCCUCCUGACCCAA
rnacentral:lncRNA from 1 species